CCAUACCGAACACGGAAGUUAAGCUUCUCAGUGCCGAUGAUACUUGGCUGGAGACGGCCCGGGAAAGUAGGUCUCUGCCAGAA
rnacentral:rRNA from 1 species